AUGAUGGUGGGCAAGGCGGAGAUGAGCGCCAUGGAGAUGGAGAAGGUGAUGAGCGACGGAGAGGUGGUGCUCGGCGGCGCCGGCGAGGAGGAGGACGACGUGGUGCUGCCGGGGUACCGGUUCCACCCCACCGACGAGGAGCUCGUCACCUUCUACCUCCGGCGCAAGGUGGCCAAGAAGUCGCUCCGCAUCGAGGUCAUCCGGGAGAUGGACAUCUACAAGCAUGACCCAUGGGAUCUCCCCAAGGCGAGCACGGUUGGUGGGGAGAAAGAGUGGUACUUCUUCUGCCUCAGAGGAAGGAAGUACCGGAACAGCAUCCGGCCCAACCGGGUGACCGGCUCCGGCUUCUGGAAGGCCACCGGCAUCGACCGGCCCAUCUACUCUGCCACCAGCGGCGGCUCGGGCUCGGGCUCCGGCAUGUCGAUCGGGCUGAAGAAGUCGCUCGUCUACUACCGUGGCAGCGCCGGCAAGGGCACCAAGACCGACUGGAUGAUGCACGAGUUCCGCCUCCCGCCGGCCGCCGCGGCGGCCACCAACGCCUCCCCGAGCAUGCAGGAAGCCGAGGUGUGGACCAUCUGCAGGAUCUUCAGGAGGACCAUCACCUACCGGAAGCAGCAGACGUGGAGGCCGGCACCGGCGCCAUCCACCACCAUCACCGCGGCCGACUCGAGCUCCAACACGGGGAGCUUCGAGUCGUCGGAGGGCGGCGACGAGUACAUGAACUGCCUGCAGGCUCCAGCAGCCGCCGCUCCAUACAUCUCCCAGCACCAGCACCCGCAGCAGUACGUCAGUCAGACGGGCACGGUGGACAGCGGCAAUUUCUUCUACAGGGAUACCAUGCACAACCAACAGUUCCAGGAGCAAUGGAACUCUCCGCCUGCCGCGCCGGAGCCGGAGCAGAAACCACUGAACCCAUUAUCGGCGGCCGACUCCUUCCACCAGAAUGAACAUAACCUCACCGUCGCCCCCAACGAUUUCCACAAGGUCGAGGCCCUCGACGGGUAUUUGGAGGAGAUCGCGAGGAUGAUGGAGGUGACUGAUCCGGCAGGGUUUUACGACUACAGAUCAUACGGUUCAUCAGCAGGAAACAGAGGGCCGAGCUUCGUGCGCACCCUCCACUCUUCGGCCCCGUAG
rnacentral:rRNA from 1 species